rnacentral:lncRNA from 1 species
AGUAACCGACGAGCCCUGAGGAAGGGGGACUCCGACCUGCAGAAAGCUUGCCUGGUGGAGGCUGUGCUGGUGCUGGACGUGCUGUGCCGGCAGGACCCGUCCUUCCUGUACCGAAGUCUCUCCUGCCUGAAGGCCCUGCACGGGCGGGUGCGCGGGGACCCGGCCUCUGUGCGGGUGCUGCUGCCCCUCGCCCACUUCUUCCUGAGCCACGGUGAGCCCAGGGUGGGGUGGCACUGACUCGGGGCUCUGCUUCUGCCUUUAGUUUUAGGAUGGAAUUUCUUCUUCCCUUUUUUUUUUUUUGAUUGAAUAGAGACAGGGGUCUUGCUGUGUUGCCCAGGCUGGUCUGGAACUCGUGGCCUCAAGCGAUCCUCCUGCCUUGGCCUCCCAAAGUGCUGGGAUUACGGGCAUGAGCCACCAUGCCCAGCUCAUAUUUCUUUUUGAUGGAUUGCUGUGCCAGAUGUUGGUAAUUUUUAAACUUUUAAAUAGAGAAAUAAACUCUUUUUGCUGUGUCCCUAGCCCAGGAAACCUGAAAGUCUAGGAACCAGCACCUUCCAAAGAAUGUGCCAUAGUUUGUGUGACUCACGAGCUGUCCAUGUCCCUGGGCGAGGGAGACCAAGUGCCGCUUCCCCAGCGUCCCAGCGUAGGACGCCUCGGAGCCCUUGGUGUCCUGGAGAGCAGGCCUGAGACUCAGGGCCCCUAACCAGUCACAGAAGCACGGCCAGGACGAGGUCAAGACGUGUGCCCUGGCGGGCCCUGGUCUUGCAGGGGAGGCAGCUGCAGUGGACUCGGAAGCCGUCUACCAGCACCUGUUCACCAGGAUCCCGGUGGAGCAGUUCCACAGCCCCAUGCUGGCCUUUGAAUUCAUCCAGUUCUGCAGGGACAACCUCCACCUGUUCAGCGGGCACCUCAGCACCCUCAGAUUGAGCUUCCCCAAUCUCUUUAAGUUCCUGGCCUGGAACAGCCCACCCCUCACCUCCGAGUUUGUGGCACUCCUCCCGGCCCUGGUGGACGCUGGCACAGCCCUGGAGAUGCUGCACGCGCUGCUGGACCUGCCCUGCUUGACGGCGGUGCUGGACCUGCAGCUCAGGUGGGCC